GUGGGCUAUGUUAAGUCAUAAAUAGGUUUUGCCAUAUGCUAUGAAAGGUUGCUGUGACCUUUUUAUUUCAGAGACCAUUCUCAUUCUGUCCUUGUAUAGUUCAAUAGCUAAACAUUAAUCAAAUAAAUAAAAAAAUUAGUAGGCUAGUGGACCUGGUAUUGGAGGACUUUAUAUUUGUACUGCCCAUCCAUGCCAAUUUUAAAAUAUUAGUUGUGAGGGAUUCAUAUGAGCUAUAGGUGGGCUACAUGAUGAGUUGGUCCUUGCACAAUCCCUGUUAGGAGAUCCAUGAAUGAAGAUUGAAUGCUACUGGUGUUUUUGAUCUAUGGUCUGAUGAUAUUCCUGAAUAGGAAUGCCAAUCAAUAUAAUAUGGAUGAAUUAUAUAAGGAUGAGUCUCAGUGAUACCUGCUCUGCUGGUAUUCUACUAAAUAUGGAUGAGUAACAGGCAAAUGUCUUCCAUUUUUUGAUAUUCCUGUGGGGUUUAUAAUUUUAUAAUGGCAAUAUUGGCUCAUCUAAGUGUAUAUUUGAUUCCUAUUAUAUUCUUUGCCACUUUCAGUUAUUUUUCUUCAAAUUUUAUAAAUCUUAUAGUAGGUUAGAAUGAUUCAACCUCCAAUGGAGUCUUACAUGCUCGUAAUGCUUC
rnacentral:lncRNA from 1 species